rnacentral:misc_RNA from 1 species
AAAAUGGUAAUCCAAUUCAAUAUGCUUUGUGCGAGCAUGGAACACUGGAUUGGCAGUGAGAUAAAUAGCUCCAAUGUUAUCGCACCAUAAAAUUGCUGGCAACUUGGGAGGAAAACCAAGCUCAGUUAACAAACUAUUAAGCCAUGAGCACCCUUGCCAUCACCGACAUAGAGCUGAUUAGUCCCUCUAUAUUCAGUUGCAGUACUUAAAGCAGAAAGGUCAGGUGUAACAUGAUAGUUUAUCACAGUAUCUAGAAACCAUGGACUUGGUGAAGAAUUUGGCACAAAGUAAUUGAUAGGAGUGGUGAGUCGCCCAUAAGAAUGAUAAUUAGCUUGAGGUUAAUAAUUUGGUCGAGACGAGAAAAAUUUGGUUGAUAUCUGCGACGAUAGCGGUUUGCAGUAUGAUUUCCAAGACCACAAAUUUGACAAGGUCUUCGGUCAAAAUGCAUUACUUUGGCCAUCAAAAUGUCUGCGAUUAUUGGAUUGAUAAUUUGGAGGUCGAUUUGGGGUGGGUAGAAGUGGUGCAUUAUUGGUUGGUUUGAGAACAAUAUUAGCUGUUGGUGGUUCUUGGGCACUUUUGAUGAGAAUUUCAUGUGCAACUAAUUGACCAUACAACUCAUAGAAUGAAAUGGUUCAGGUUUAAGAUUCAUGGAACUAAUGAUAAAAUGGUAUUUAGAACCAAUAUUGCGAUAAAUGAUUGCAUUGAAUUCAGCAGAAGAAAUAGGGCAACCUGCAGCUUGUAAUUCAUUAGCCAAGGACUUAGCUUUGUGAAGAUAUUCAGAAACAGAAAGAUCAUUCCUUUUUAAUUCUUGUAAUUCAAUAUGUAUUUGAAGUUGCCGAUUCUGAGAAACAGAUCCAAAGGAUUGAGAUAAGGCAUUCCAUACAUCAAAGGAUGAUGAUAGACCAAAGAUGUAAGGGAAGAUUUCUUCGAUUAACGAAGAAAGAAUCCAAGAUAAUAGCAUCUGGUCUUUCAGAAACCAUUUUUCAUAUUCGGGGUUGGGAGAUGAAAUUGAGGAUUCUGUGUUUGUGAUAGUUUUAGGUGGAGCGAGAAUAGAACCAUAAAUAAAUCCAUGAAGUUUUUGGUAGUUAACUAAGGGAAUAAAAUGCAUUCUCCAUGCAAGAUAAUUUUUGGUAUUCAAUUUGAUAGAAAAGGUAUGAGAAGAUGAGAUUGAAGUGGGAAAAAGGUUGACA